rnacentral:rRNA from 1 species
AACGAACGCUGGCGGCGUGGAUUAGGCAUGCAAGUCGAACGUUAGGGACCUUUCGGGGUCCCGAAAGUGGCAAACGGGUGAGUAACGCGUGGGAAACCUGCCCUUGUGCUGGGGAUAACACUCCUAACGGAGUGCUAAUACCGAAUACGAUCACCGGGUCGCAUGGCUUGGUGAUGAAAGGCGGCCUCUGCUUGCAAGCUGUCGCACAAGGAUGGUCCCGCGUCCCAUUAGCUAGUUGGUAGGGUAACGGCCUACCAAGGCUGUGAUGGGUAGCCGGCCUUAGCGGGUGUCCGGCCACACUGGGACUGAGAUACGGCCCAGACUCCUACGGGAGGCAGCAGUCGAGAGGCUUCUACAAUGGGGGAAACCCUGAUAGAGCGACGCCGCGUGGGUGAUGAAGGUCUUCGGAUCGUAAAGCCCUUUCAGCAGGGAAGAAGGGAGUGGAUGCUAAUACCAUCGAGUCCCGGACGGUACCUGCAGAAGAAGCUCCGGCUAACUCCGUGCCAGCAGCCGCGGUAAGACGGAGGGAGCAAGCGUUGUUCGGAUUUACUGGGCGUAAAGGGCGUCUAGGCGGGCCAGCCAGUCAGGUGUGAAACCCCCCGGCUCAACCGGGGAUCUGCACUUGAUACUGCUGGUCUUGAGUACGGAAGAGGAAGGCGGAAUUCCUGGUGUAGCGGUGAAAUGCGUAGAUAUCAGGAAGAACACCGGUGGCGAAGGCGGCCUUCUGGUCCGAUACUGACGCUAAAGCGCGAAAGUGUGGGGAGCAAACAGGAUUAGAUACCCUGGUAGUCCACACUGUAAACGAUGGAUACUAGGUGUCGGGGGUAUCGACCCCCCCGGUGCCGCAGCUAACGCAUUAAGUAUCCCGCCUGGGGAGUACGGUCGCAAGGCUG